rnacentral:rRNA from 1 species
UACGGAGGGUGCGAGCGUUGUCCGGAAUCACUGGGCGUAAAGGGCGCGUAGGCGGCCGGAGAAGUCGGUGGUGAAAGCUCGGGGCUCAACUCCGAGUCGGCCACCGAUACUGUUCGGCUCGAGUUUGGUAGAGGCAGAUGGAAUUCCGGGUGUAGCGGUGGAGUGCGUAGAGAUCCGGAAGAACACCGGUGGCGAAGGCGGUCUGCUGGGCCAAGACUGACGCUGAGGCGCGACAGCGUGGGGAGCAAACAGG